rnacentral:lncRNA from 1 species
GAUGAUUAACAUUAUAUGCCUUUUCAAAACUAAAAUAAUUCUCUAAGACCGAUCUACAUGGAUAAUGUAAAACCACAGUGAACGCAGAUAUGCGUAUCACUAUUAAGAUAUUCUUAGGGGUGAAAAUUGAGUCCAUCUCCAAUGAUAUGGUACACAACAUUCUCCAUGACCAUCGUUUAAAAAAACAUUCUCCAUGACCAUGACCGUCU